rnacentral:sRNA from 1 species
CGUUAAGGUCAGCCAGCUCUGCUCUCCUUCAUACAUACUGGGUUGGAGUUCAAAUCCCGUCAUUCAGGGGCUGUGUGAUUUGGGUUCAGAAGAAGGAUUAUUGGCUAAGGCUGUGGCUAAACGGUAGAACAUUUGCCUAACUCGUGCAAGACCCAGUCCCUGUUCCAACCAACCAACCAACCAACCAACCAACCAACCAACCCUUUGUCAGGUGACUCUCUUAAAUACCCAAAACCCCUAUAGUAUUGAAUAGAAGCAACCCCGGGGCAGGACUUACUUAAUGGCGUAGUUGCAGACCAGGUACACAGCCUGCUGCCAGGUGCUGCCCCACACAUUGAUGCUGCUGCACGUGUGAAUAGCGCAUCCCAGCCGACUGGAGGAGGCCCACACCAUCUGCAGAAGCACAGAGACAGGCAAGCUGAGACUCGAAGGAGCCCUGGGCAGCAACGGACCCCAUUCCAUUGAAAACGCAGCUUCAAAGAGGGAGGCAGCCGCCUGGAGCACAUCGAAAAUACAUCUGGACACCAUGAUUUGACCUGAAGCCAGGCCUGUGUCCCCAGAACAGCAGAACGGAGAGGUUCCUGGUGUCUGUCCCUGACCUA